GCCGAGUUGGCGGAGUUUGGUUAAACGCGCUAGCCUUGAGAGCUAGUGUGCAUAACGCACGCGCAGGUUCGAAUCCUGCACUCGGCG
rnacentral:tRNA from 1 species